UAGGGAGUAUUCGGCAAUGGGGGAAACCCUGACCGAGCAACGCCGCGUGAAGGAUGAAGGUCCUCGGAUUGUAAACUUCUGUGAUAGGGGAUGAAUAGUAAAGGUAGGAAAUGACUUUUACCUGACAGUACUCUAUUAGAAAGCUACGACUAACUACGUGCCAGCAGUCGCGGUAAUACGUAGGUAGCAAGCGUUAUCCGGAAUUAUUGGGCGUAAAGAGUGAGCAGGCGGUUUGAAAAGUCUGAUGUAAAAUGCUGUCGCUUAACGACAGUUCGCUUCAGAAACUAUCUUACUAGAGUGCGGGAGAGGUAAGCGGAAUUCCAUAUGUAGCGGUGAAAUGCAUAGAUAUAUGGAGGAACACCAGUGGCGAAGGCGGCUUACCAGUCCGAUACUGACGCUCAGUCACGAAAGCGUGGGUAGCAAAUAGG
rnacentral:rRNA from 1 species